UUCCUGUUCUAGACCUCUUGGAGGCCCUCAGCUCCCAGCGGGCCCCUCCCAUCCCAGGCCCUUUGCUGCGCCACUGUCAUCCAGGAUACAUGCCGGCAGAUGUUUCUGGCAAGCCGCGGGUCUGCGGUUAACCUGAAGGGGCCAGGAGUGGGUGAAUGCACCGCUUGGCUUGGGGGGGUCCAUCCCUCAGCCUCCCCUGGGCCACCUGGGCUCUCUGGCUUCGUCUGGAGACUUCUACGUUUUUAGUGAUGCCUGGAGAUGAUUUGUCCUUCCCAUUAAUGAUGGUGUGCAUGUUCCUCCGGGAAAAUUUGGAAAGUACAGAAGAGCACAAAGGUCUUCAUGGAUCACACAGUUCCUGAGGUGACUGGUUUGGCCAGAGCAUGAAGACAGACACUCUGACCUGGGUUUAGAUCAGGGCUUCACUGACCUCUGUCUUGGUUGGGUCAGUCACUUAAGUCUCAGUUUCCUCAUCUCUAAAAUGGGGUAAAAAUAACUACCUUGGAGGGUAAGUUGCUAGGGUUAGAAAUCUCCUUCCCACCCCACCUCGUGCUUCUGGUGUCUUCCGUGGCAGUGGCUACAUCUCUGCUGUGGUUCCAGCUCCUGCCAGGUGGCCUGAACUGUGGGCUCUGGUAACCCCAGCUUCUCCCUUCCUGUCCUGGCCCUAGUGGUGGCAGCAGUGACUUCCCGCUGUUACUAAGCUCUCUGGUCACCCUGCCAUCCCAUUUGGCUCUUCAGAAAGUCCAAGCUGCAAAACAAACCUCCUGUA